rnacentral:lncRNA from 1 species
AAAAUUUGCAGUGCUCAUGGGGAAACAAACCAACUCCAACAGGAACACCCUCAAACCCACUUCCCCCACCAGCGCCGGUUCCAGUCCCUGGUUUAUCCCCAAUGGACCUGUUGGCCUAUGAGAGGCAACUGGCUCUAGCCAAGAUGCAUCCUCAGGCUCAGCAUUCUCUAAGGCAUGUAAAUGCAGCUGGAGCAAGUGCAGCUAUGUACGAUGGUGGGUUUCAGAAUGUAGCUGCGGCGCAUCAGCAGCUCAUGUACUAUCAGUAAUAAACUCACUCUGGUCUCUUGGAUUUGAGAUGCUUUUUUCUUCUUUUUUUUCUACUUAAUUUAUCACUUUCUUGCUUUUUUUUCUAGACCUUGGUCAGAGUCUUAUGUAUGUGUGUCUCCUCUCGUUUGAAGUCAUUGAUUCUAUAUGUAUGCUUAGUUUGUAACCUAUGUGUGUACGUGGUUUGCAAGCCAAGCAAUAAAAAUGACAUGUAAUAAAAAGGAUGUUUGUUUGGGUUCCAAAUGUGCUGGGGUCUAGACAUGUUGUCUGAGAGAGUAGUGUGGUUCUGUAAUAGUAAAUAAAUUGAAUUUUUAAUUCCGUUACUCUUAUCAUGCAGCAAAGUAAAUAAUUAAGGUCCUUGCAAAGCUUGUGAUUCAUGUCUGACAGAGAGAUAAUCCCAUUAUACUAAAAUAAUCUUCCUUUAAAAACUCAUUUAUUGCCUCGUAUCUUCCUUUUCUUCUGUGAGGGAUAACGAAAUCUCCUCCUGUUACCGCCCAAGAGGCCUUAAAAAACUCACUUGUGAACCCGUCUGGACCCGGUGAUUUGUCUCGUGGCAUAGAGAAAAGAACUUUUCGAAUCUCUUCCGAAGAUACCUCCCUCAUCAAACUGCUUCUAUCAUCCUCCGAACACUCAUAAUUUACCAGCGACUUUAACUCAUCAACACUUAUUCCCUCAUACUCUGAAGGCGUAUGAGUAAGAAAUUGAUGGAAGUGACUUACUGCUUCUUGUUUAAUAUCAUCUUGCGAGUCUGCUACAGAACCAUCCAGUCUCUUAAUCUCCCUUAUAGAAUUCCUUAUCUCCCUUACUGUAGCCGCCCUGUGAAAACUUUUAUUGUUACCAUCUCCAACAUCAAGCCAAUGAAUUUUUGCCUUCUGACUAAGAACUUUCUCCUCCAGAGUAGAUAAAAAAAUCCAUCUUCUAUAUGCUUCUGAUUCUGCUUCAAUGUUGGCUUGGAUGGGAUUUUCCAAAGUCUUCACUUGAGCAUCACAAAGCUUAGCAUAGGCCUCUCUUGUCUUCUUUACUAUCUCCCCCACCUUUUCUUUACUCAGUUGCUUCAAAACCGGCUUCAGGGCCUUGAGCUUCUUUGACAAUCGAAAUAAAGCAGAAGUGGAAUUGAACAACACCUCUGUCUCAGACCAGAACUUCUCAACCACAGGAAUGAAUUCUGGCAUAUCCACUAGUGCAUUUACAAACUUAAACGGCUUUCUUGGUUUCAUUAUCUCAGCUUUAAUCACUACCCGACAUCUUUGAUGAUCCGAACAACCUCCAGCUUCAAAUACACAAUAAGACUGCGGAAAAGAUCUCACCCAUACCUCAUUAAUCAAAGUACGAUCCAACUUCUUGCAGAUCAAGCCAGUAUCUCUCUUAUUGCACCAAGUAAACCUAGGCCCUUGGUAUGACAUAUCUACAAUAGAGCAGUAUUGAACCACUUCUUGAAAAUCCUUCAUACCCAACGAGUCUUGUGAACCCGACACUGAAUGCUCCACUCCACUAAGAAUCUCGUUAAAAUCCCCUUGAACAAUCCAUGGUGAUUUCCUUAUUAUAGGAGAAUCAUGAUGGUCUUUAAGAUCCCUCCAAAGCUCCUUUCUCUCUUCCUCCAAAUUAAACCCAUAUACAAAGGAGCAAAAAAUCUCCUCUACCAUCCCUUCCAACAACACAGAACACGUAACCAACUGUGCGCUUUGAAAGCAGGGAGUAACCCUUACUCUCGGACUCCAAGUGACCCAAAUUCUACCCAACCGGUGAUGAUCAUAGUUUGUGAUAUAUGACCAUCCUGGAAAUACAGUCUCCAAAAUCUUCUUUGCUUUAUUCUCCUUCACUCUUGUCUCAAUUAAACAUCCAAACUGAAAACCACGUUUCCUGACCCAUUCCUGAACCACCAAAUGCUUAGAAAACUUGUUGAAACCUCUUAUGUUCCAAUAAAACCCAGACAUAUUAAUGACGACGGGUUUUCUUCUUGUUCAGACAACCAGGAUCUGCAUCCUGAGUUUUCUGGCCUGCUUUAUCUCUGAGAUAUCUGUGGUUAACCUUAGACUCUCGAGGUAACAUUUUCCUUGUAAGGUUAUCUUCUUCCUGCAUUACCUCGUGUUCUUCUUCUGUCUGCUCCAGAUUCUCUUCUUCUUCUUGUUCCUCUUCCGUUGGUGAUAACACUUCAAAUCUCGAUUUAGUAAGUAUUGAUACCUGCCCAAACUUCAAAGGACUCGAAGGCCGACUAGAUUUCCCUGGCGAGACAUCCAACCAUUCUUUUUCUUUCUCACUCUCAGUGUCUUGUGACUUUUCUUUUAUGGAGGCUUGAUUGUCCUCAGCUUGUAUCUCUACAUGUAAUACUCCACCACCUUUAUCACCACUCUCAAUUUCCUGAACUUCAAUUCUUUCUAUCUCUUCCUCCUUGUUAUUCUCCCCGCAUAUUUCUCCUUCUUCUAGCUCCUUUUGAGCUGCUUUCUCCAUAGGGCAAGUUUUGACAGCAUGACCCCACUUAUCACAUUUUUGACAUUUUGUUGGUAGCCGUGGAUACCCAUACUCCACCAUUACAUCCUCUCCCAGAACAUUAAAAUUCAUCCUCUUUGGCAGCUCCUUUGUGAGAUCAACAUUAACAAAAAUCUUUGCCACAUCAAGAUUUAAACAUUGAGCUGUCUCAGGAUGCAACCUACUUGGGUUCCCAAUUGGACUAGUCAGGAAGCUUAGCCCUUGCCAUGAGAACAUCGAUAUUGGAACAUGCUUUAUGUGAACCCACAUUGGAAUAGAUUGCGUAGGUGGCUUCUCCUUUUCAACCACCGGCGACCAUUUCGUCAUCACCACCGGGAUUCCUGCUAGAUUCCACAUUCCUCUUCUCAAAAUCCUUCUUCUAUCAGCUUGGUUGGGAAUACGAAACUUCAUCGUAGUCUGAUUGACCUCAUACACUUCUAUCUUCUGGGCUUUGUCAUUCAGAUUCCAUAUUUUGUUCACUAUCGCAUGAACUUUCGCUAUAUGCGGAGCUGUAUCCAAAAAAAUAGUACUUAGAGUUAUAAGAUAAGAUAAUUAUAUUUGUAGUAAUUCUCCAAUGGUAUGGUGAUUUUGUAUUUAGUCGUUGAUGAUGUUGUGAUUUCUUAAAAAUGAGGAAGCUAUUAUUAGAGCCAGCCAAGAACAUCAAAAUUUAUACAUAGCUAUAAAAAAUAAUAGUACUUCUUUUGCAGAAUUUUUUGGUGCAAGACAAAACAUGAUAUAGGGAAGCAAUAUAAUGAUCCCAAAGAAAAUGGUGCACAAAUAACAAAACUACUUCUGUGACAAAAAAAGGAAUCCGGGAAAACGUUCUUCUCUUUGGCAGUGAGGAGCAGAAAAUAUAUCAAAUUUGUACGUGCUUAAGGAAACCAUACACCAAUGCUACAGUCCAGACGGUAUUCCGAAGAUGUCGAAUUCCCCAAGUCAAGAACUCGUUCCACACAAACAUUUUCUUACAGAGAGUAGCACCACUCUCAUGGUCGCAUAUAUCCUUCUGGAAACUAUGCAUUAUAUUGAAAGAAUAGCUGAAAAAGAAGUCCUUUGUAAGGUCCACCAUACACAGGAGCUUCUUGUACCUGUUUAUCAACAUGUGGGAAACACCAGAUAAAGAAACGUAAGGGUUAAAUGACUUCAGUUCAUACAAAGGUCGAAGGGUGUAAUAAAUAAACACAUGUACUCACUCUCUUUUCACCAAACAGAAACUUUCUUCAACAAUAAGCUUGGAACAAACAAAAAGGCAUAAUAUAGUAUAAGGUAGAUCCAAACACCUGUUCUUGUCUCUUGAAUUUGCAAUGUUGGAAAGCACGCUAGGAUUACGCAAAGAAAUGAUCUCACUCUUGGAAACUUCAUAGACCCUGUGACCACAAAUUUCGCCUAUCUCUCUUCUCUCGGUAAUAACCAGCAUGUAGUAUGGUCCCAAUAACUUAAUGAACCCUGAGACCACGUAAAUGGGGAGCACAAAAAAAAACAAAAUUGUGAAAACACACUGUAAAAGUAAAAACAAUGUACAUUUCAGUGAACAUAACCGACACGUCUAGAAUUGAGUUAUUUUUAUCUUAAUAUCAGAUAUGUCAGCAGUGUAAUCUAUGUUUCUGUCACCUCGUUUCAGGUAAAUGGAUAAGUAGCAGACAAAUCAGAUGCAACUGGGCGACAAAAGGUGCUACUUUUGGUGAGGACAAACAUAGCUCUGAUGGAAAAAGUGUCGUUGAACUUACAAACGGCUCAGAGGACGGUAGAGAGAUCUCAAUCUCAAACGAAGAAGCUCCUGAAAACAAUCCUCAGUAUACCACUGUCUAUGUAGGAAACCUCGCUCCAGAAGUAAGUUCUCAAACCCUUUCAUAGUUUCUCUAUAUCAAACACAGAGAGACAGCUCUUGGUGGUCUUUUUGGCAUGUCGUGACAGUUAGUCAAUCUUGCAGGUAACUCAGCUUGAUCUACACCGUCUGUUCCAUACACUUGGCGCUGGAGUGAUUGAGGAGGUCCGUGUCCAGCGAGACAAGGGCUUUGGUUUUGUGAGAUAUAACACUCACGACGAGGCUGCUCUUGCUAUUCAAAUGGGCAACUCUCAGCCUUUCCUCUUUAGCAGACCCAUAAAGGUACUAACUUCAGUUAUGAUUUACUUAGAACUGACCCUACUUAGGUCCUAAGCCCAACUCUGUGAUAAAAUUUGCAGUGCUCAUGGGGAAACAAACCAACUCCAACAGGAACACCCUCAAACCCACUUCCCCCACCAGCGCCGGUUCCAGUCCCUGGUUUAUCCCCAAUGGACCUGUUGGCCUAUGAGAGGCAACUGGCUCUAGCCAAGAUGCAUCCUCAGGCUCAGCAUUCUCUAAGGCAUGUAAAUGCAGCUGGAGCAAGUGCAGCUAUGUACGAUGGUGGGUUUCAGAAUGUAGCUGCGGCGCAUCAGCAG